rnacentral:misc_RNA from 1 species
CUCACAUCAUCAUCAUCGGAAAAUUGUUUUUGUUUCGAUUCCAUUUUCUUCGGAUCUUCCAUCUCAUUUCACAUAAAACUUAUUUAUUCAACAGUCACAGACACACUUAUAUAAUAUUUUGUGAUUUUUUCGGUGAACUUGAAAUGGAGAUGUAUGGACGGAGACAAGAUGUGAAAUAUAAUGGAAUACACGUCAUACGCUUCACGUAUCCUUGGGAAGAAUUAUUUAUUCUUACACACAAAAAUAGAGAUUUAAUGUGACUGAUGGGAACAUAACCAGUAUACUGACACCGGGCACGUGUCACAUGCUUUUGUUUCCUCUGCUUCAAUAAUGGGAACAAUAGUGUCAUCUGGUAAUCAAGAUUCGCGUUCGAUGACACCGUGAAACAGUAUGUUAUCCUGAAAUUAGAUUAAUUAAUCGAGAGGGUGCUAUGAACUUAGCCAUUAUACGCUCAGAUGUUAAUUUUUAAUUUGG